UACAGAGGAUGCAAGCGUUAUCCGGAAUGAUUGGGCGUAAAGCGUCUGUAGGUGGCUUUUUAAGUCCGCCGUCAAAUCCCAGGGCUCAACUCUGGACAGGCGGUGGAAACUACCAAGCUGGAGUACGGUAGGGGCAGAGGGAAUUUCCGGUGGAGCGGGUGAAAUGCGUGAGAGAUCCGGAGGAACACCGACGGCGUAGGCAGCGCCCUGGCUGUGAAUAAAGCUGACACUGAGGCACGAAAGCUGGGGGGAGCAAACAGG
rnacentral:rRNA from 1 species